GUGUAGCUCAGAUGGUAGAGAACUUGUCUGGCACACAUGAGGUCCUGGGUUUGAUUCCUAGCAC
rnacentral:tRNA from 1 species